AGCCACGGGAAGCCGACGGGUAAAGAGAUCGGUUGUUGUCGGAUUACGUCGUUGAAGAGAAAUUGUUCAGCCAUGUUUCCGAAGUAACAAAGAGGCGACGGAUGGCCUGGAUUGCAGCCAUUUGAGGCGUUUAGUUUGGUAGUUACACUGGAGGAGCGGAGUGUGGAGUUUAAUAACACCGCUGAAAAUACUGCGGUUGGUCUACAAGAGGACAGAAAUCCGUACGGGUGCUUGAAAUGCUUGAAAACGCUUGGAUUUUAAUGUUGUCUUUUAAAGACUGCAUUAACCGUUCUCCAUGGCUGCUGUUGUUCCUUUUGCGUCCUGCUAUGCCAGCGUUCAGCCCCUGCAGCUAUUC